rnacentral:lncRNA from 1 species
UGCGAAGAUAAAUUUCAAAAAUUUAAUAGAUUAGAUCUUAAUCUUGUAUAUGUAAUGAUUCCUGAGCAUGAGAUAUGAUCUCUAUAUAUGCUAGAUUAUAUUGGAUCUAAUUGGAUUUAAAAAAAUUUAGAUCUAAAAUCUUUCUUUCUGCUAUGUAAAAAUUUUUAAAUUUUUUCAUACAUACAUGUCGCCAUGUGAUGG